ensembl:lncRNA
UUUAAGAUUUCUUUCCUUCUACUAACCCUGGGGUUCUUCAUUUCUUCCUUUUCUAGUUGCUUUAGGUGUAGAGUUAGGUUAUUUAUUUGACUUUUUUCUUGUUUCUUGAGGUGUGCCUGUAUUGCUAUGAACUUUCCCCUUAGGACUGCUUUUACCGUGUCCCACAGGUUUUGGGUUGUUGUGCUUUCAUUUUCAUUCGUUUCUAUGCAAAUUUUGAUUUCUUUUUUGAUUUAUUCUGUGAUUUGUUGGUUAUUCAGCAGCGUGUUGUUCAGCCUCCAUAUGUUGGAAUUUUUAAUAGUUUUUCUCCUGUAAUUGAGAUCUAAUCUUACUGCAUUGUGGUCAGAAAAGAUGCUUGGAAUGAUUUCUAUUUUUUUGAAUUUACCAAGGCUAGCUUUAUGGCCCAGGAUGUGAUCUAUCCUGGAGAAGGUUCCGUGUGCGCUUGAGAAAAAGGUGAAAUUCAUUGUUUUGGGAUGAAAUGUCCUAUAGAUAUCAAUUAGGUCUAACUGGUCUAUUGUAUCGUUUAAAGUUUGUGUUUCCUUGUUAAUUUUCUGUUUAGUUGAUCUAUCUAUAGGUGUGAGUGGGGUAUUAAAGUCUCCCACUAUUAUUGUGUUAUUGUUAAUUUCUCCUUUCAUACUUGUUAGCAUUUGUCUUACAUACUGCGGUGCUCCCAUGUUGGGUGCAUAUAUAUUUAUAAUUGUUAUAUCUUCUUCUUGGAUUGAUCCUUUGAUCAUUAUGUAGUGACCUUCUUUGUCUCUUUUCACAGCCUUUGUUUUAAAGUCUAUUUUAUCUGAUAUGAGUAUUGCUACUCCUGCUUUCUUUUGGUCCCUAUUUGCAUGGAAAAUCUUUUUCCAGCCUUUCACUUUCAGUCUGUAUGUGUCCCCUGUUUUGAGGUGGGUCUCUUGUAGACAACAUAUGUAGGGGUCUUGUUUUUGUAUCCAUUCAGCCAGUCUUUGUCUUUUGGUUGGGGCAUUCAACCCAUUUACGUUUAAGGUAAUUACUGAUAAGUAUGAUCCCGUUGCCAUUUACUUUAUUGUUUGGGGUUCGAAUUUAUACACCAUUUUUGUGUUUCCUGUCUAGAGAAUAUCCUUUAGUAUUUGUUGGAGAGCUGGUUUGGUGGUGCAGAAUUCUCUCAGCUUUUGCUUGUCUGAGAAGCUUUUGAUUUCUCCUUCAUACUUGAAUGAAAUCCUUGCUGGGUACAAUCAUCUGGGCUGUAGGUUAUUUUCUUUCAUCAUUUUAAGUAUGUCUUGCCAUUCCCUCCUGGCUUGAAGAGUUUCUAUUGAAAGAUCAGCUGUUAUCCUUAUGGGAAUUCCCUUGUGUGUUAUUUGUUGUUUUUCCCUUGCUGCUUUUAAUAUUUGUUCUUUGUGUUUGAUCUUUGUUAAUUUGAUUAAUAUGUGUCUUGGGGUGUUUCGCCUUGGGUUUAUCCUGUUUGGGAUUCUCUGGGUUUCUUGGGCUUGGGUGAUUAUUUCCUUCCCCAGUUUAGGGAAGUUUUCAACUAUUAUCUCCUCAAGUAUUUUCUCAUGGUCUUUCUUUUUGUCUUCUUCUUCUGGAACCCCUGUGAUUCGAAUGUUGUAGCGUUUAAUAUUGUCCUGGAGGUCUCUGAGAUUGUCCUCAUUUCUUUUAAUUCGUUUUUCUUUUAUUUUCUCUGAUUCAUUUAUUUCUACCAUUCUAUCUUCUAAUUCACUAAUCCUAUCUUCUGCCUCUGUUAUUCUACUAUUUGUUGCCUCCAGAGUGUUUUUAAUUUCAUUUAUUGCAUUAUUCAUUAUAUAUUGACUCUUUUUUAUUUCUUCUAGGUCCUUGUUAAACCUUUCUUGCAUCUUCUCAAUCCUUGUCUCCAAGCUAUUUAUCUGUGAUUCCAUUUUAAUGUCAAGAUUUUGGAUCAAUUUCACUAUCAUUAUUCGAAAUUCUUUAUCAGGUAGAUUCCCUAUCUCUUCCUCUUUUGUUUGGUUUGGUGGUCAUUUAUCCUGUUCCUUUAUCUGCUGGCUAUUCCUCUGUCUCUUCAUCUUGUUUAAAUUGCUGAGUUUGGGGUGUCCUUUCUGUAUUCUGGCAGUUUGUGGAGUUCUCUUUAUUGUGGCUUUUCCUCGCUGUGUGUGGGUUUGUACAGGUGGCUUGUCAAGGUUUCCUGGUUAGGGAAGCUUGUGUCGGUGUUCUGAUGGGUGGAGCUGUAUUUCUUCUCUUUGUUCAGUCACGCUGUGGGGAGGGAGGGAGGGAUGCUGCAAACAAAUAACACUGGCGUGUGCUCGCAGUGCCUCAGUGCCCAGUGCCUCACACUGGGUCUGCCCCUGCUCACGGCGCAUGUAGCCUCCCUGCCCACACUGCUUGGGCUCUAGGUUGUUCCGCCGGGAACAAUCCGAGGCUGGCCCUGGGUUGCAUGUGCCUCCCAGGUCCAAGCCGCUCAGGUUCAGGCACUCGGGUAGUCCUCAGAGGCGCAGACUCAGUUGGGCCUGAGUUUUGUGCUCUUCCCAGGUCCGAGCAGCUCAAGUGACGAGGGUUUGGCGAGCGCCAAUGCUGCGACUUAUCGCCUCCCCGCCACUCGGUUAUCUGGGUGUAAAACCGGUGCACCUUCUCAGGCAGAUGUUAACCAUCCAGACCCCCAAGAAGUUUUAGUUAGCAAAGAAGCCUGCUUACAGUUUUAUAGAUAAUGUCUCUCUGGGGCUGCGAUUGCCCCCUUCCGGCUCUGGCUGCCUGUCACCGGAGGGGGAAGGUCUGCAGCCGGCUAUCUCUGUUCAGUCCUUUGUUCCGUGCGUGGGCCUGGCGGUCUUAGGUUAGGGCUGGCUUUUCGUGUGGUAGAUAUCCCACAGUCUGGUUUGCUAGCCCAAAUUAUUUCGCUCAGAUAGUGCCCAGGGUAUUCAGGCCAGAUUCUUACUCUAAGCGAUGCAGCCCGCGCUGCGCCUCCCUGCCCAGCCCCCGCUUGCUAAUGGUGCGUGCAGGCGUCUGCGCUGCUUCUCCGCUGGGGGAGUUACCGUAGGACUCGCAAUCUUCGAGUUUUAAUUGUUUAUUUAUUUUUUCGGGGGGAUUUCUCUAAGUGUUUUUUGGCUGUGUUGGGUCUUCUUUACUGCACGAGGGCUUUCUCUAGUUGUAGUGAGUGGCGGCUGCUCUCUGGUUGCAGUGCACAGGCUUGUCAUUGCAGCGGCUUCUCUCGAUGUGGAGCGUGGGCUCUAGGCGUGCGAGCCUCUGAGGUGGCAGCACGUGGGCUCAGUAGUUGUAUGCGGGCUUACUUGCUCUGAGACACGUGGGAUCCUCCCAGACCAGGGAUUGAACCUCUGUCCCCUGCAUCAGCAGGCAGAUUCUCACCCACUGGACCACCAGGGGGAGCCGGCAAAGUGGAUUCUUACCCACUGGAACGCCUGGGAAGUCCCAGCCCACACGGAGGUGACUGAGUGGCAGCGUGGGGAGGGUGGUGCCGUGCCGCCCAGGGCCACAGGGAGAAGCAGGAGGUCCAGCCGAGGCAGGGCCUGGAGAGGGGAGAGAGCGGGCGGAGCUUGUGUUGUGAAGACAGGGAGACAGCAAGGCGCGGGCUGGUUUGAAUAAUGUCGGGGGCCCUGGGCUGUAGGGUGGCCUCCGGCUGUCUGGUGCCAGCCCUGGGUGACUCGGGCAGAGCAGUCUUGCCUCCCGGCAGGUAAGAGCCAUUGGAGGAGGUGGCUCAGGGUGUGGGUGCUGCAUUGCUUGGUUUUCCUGUGAGAGUCAUGGUUCUUGAUGGUGUCUCAGAAUUGCUUGCCAAGGGAAUGGAUACAUGCACGUGCAUGGUUGAGUCCCUUCGCUGUUCACCUGAAACGAUCACAGCAUUGUUUACUGGCUAUACCCCCAAUACAAAAAAAAAAGUUUAAAAAAAAAAUUCAGACCCAAAAAAAGAGAAGAAUUUGCUGCCAAGGAAGGGGCCAUCUCUUCCCUGUCAGCGAGGCUCCCAAAAUGUCAAAGUGUCACAAAAUAUGGACAAUAUGAUUAAACAAGCUCAUUGUAGCAUUCCGGCUACAGCCUCUGUUAGAGGUUUUUACUCUCAGAAUGAGUAUUUCUCUGCAGGGGCUGAGCCUGGGGGCACCCCCCUCUGUGGGUGCAGACCCACUGCUGCAUUUGGGGAGCAAAGAGACAGCUCUGCAGAGCGGGGUGCUCCUGGGCAGAAAGAUCGGGCCUGAUAACAGUAGAGUGCACUGGAGAAGCUGGCCUGGCUCGUGAGGCUGGCUUGGCUCUGUGGCCCUUAAGGGCAAAAAUGGAGCUUGCAACAUGGAUUACCUCUAACUUUUUACCUCUAGGAAUCUUUGUAAAAUCUUGCAGGUAGACCUUUAUUGUUUAAUAUGCUCUUAUAAUGUGAACGGUUUGAUCAAGUUUCCCACUGGCUUAUCUGCUCUCAUCCUGCUGACCCGUUCCCCACCCCUGUCCCAUACACACAAUUUCCCACUGAACUCUGGGGAAAAAACUUACCAGGUCAGUGAGUUCUAUUUGUAUAUUGCUUUUUUCAUGCUAGCAGAGGAUGGUGUCAUCAUAGCAUCUCAAUUUGAUUGUUUUGGAAUGAUUUUACCAGUUAAGAAUUUGAUAUGUAUUUUUUUUACUAUUUAAUCAGAAGGGCAGGUUUGAACAUAAGUCAAUGGAGAUAAACUCAGAAAUCAUGCUUUUUCCUAUUUAGAGAUAGGCAGUGUGUUUUCACGUUCAGAAAAUGUAGAUGAUUCCUCUGGCUUUCCUUUUAUUUCCUAAGUUCAAAUCAGAAUUCAAGGUGUAAUGACAAUAUUUGACAUUUCUUGUUGCUUAAGUGAGACCAGACUUCAGUGUUGCGAUGUUUACUUCAUGUAUUCUUGAACUGUUUACUUUCUCUCACUGGAAAUGUAUAUCUAACAUGUGGCAUUUGUUGUAAAUAAAAGCGUUGUAAAUGUCCUUUAAUAAAUACUUGUACCCGAGUCAUAGGAUAGAAUGACUGGAAAUUAGAUCGAAUCAAUAUGCAGGAUAUUGUGUGAUUUUCCAUGGAUGCUGUCCAACCAGUUACCGCAAGCUUGGUGGUGGUGAACAACAGAAAUUUAUCAUUUUGAAGUUCUUGGGGUUAAAAGUCCAAAAUCAAGGUGUCAGCAGGGUCACAGUUUUUCCAGAGGCCCCUCUGGAGGAAGGUUUCCGCAUCUUCCAGCUCCUGGUGGCUGCCAGCGCACCUGGGCUUGUGGGCAGCAGAGCUAAUCUGUGUCCUUAACGUGCCCACCUUCACUGCGUGUGUCUGUGUGUCCGGAUCUCCCUCUUCUUACGGGAAGGCACCAGUCAUUGGAUGUAGGGCCAACCCUGAUCCUGCAUUACCUCUUCUUAACUUGAUUCCAUGAGGAGCCUGGAGGGCUAUAGUCCAUGGGGUCGCAAAGAGUCGGACGUGACUGAGCAACUAACACUUUCACUUCAGCAUGGAGGAGGGCAGAGGAAAGUGGAGGAAAAGUCACUCAGUCGUGUCUGACUCUUUGCGACCCCGUGGACUGUAACCUACCAGGCUCCAGGCAAGAAUACUGGAGUGAGUUGCCAUUUCCUUCUCCAGGGGAUCUUCCCGAUCCAAGGAUUGAACCCUGGUCUCCCGCAUUGCAGGCAGACGCUUUGACCUCUGAGCCACCAGGGAAGCCCCCUGGUCAUUCACUUCAGCAUGACCUCAUCUUAACUUGAUUACAUCGGCAAAGACCCAGUUUCCAGAGAAGGUCACAGUCACAGGUUCCAGUUGGACGUGAAUUUGGAGGAACACUAUCCAGCUCAGCACAGAUGUGGGGCUCUUCCACCUUAAUCCAGGAGUAGAAAAAUCAGGGAAGAGGCUAUCAGUGGCGUUGCUUUAAAAACAAAAAUCACUUCUUAAAAUCAGUUCUGUCCAAGGCAGAUAAGAUUUUAUUUUAUAGAAUUUCCAGAAAAAUUUUAUAGAGACUGAAGCUAAUUUUUUUUUCAGGGAUGGGGAGGUCAUGUUUCUUAAGAAAAGGAAUGUAAAAUUCCAGGUACAGAGCUAGGUAUGACAAUGCAUAUUUAUUUAGAAUUUUUAAAGAAGUAAAUUAAAAAUAUAUAAAGCUGGCAUACCACACUCAUCAUAAAACACUGUAAGCUCUUUUUAUUAACUAUUUGACACCUUUCUGAUACUUUUCCUUCCCUUUUUAGUUGGUUCCAUAUACAUUGACCACCUCCUCCUUGAGACAGUUUUGUACUAUAUUAGUUUCUCAGUGAUAUUUAAAUUCUGUCUGUAGCUUGGUUGUUGAAAAACACAAUUUAGAACUUUCAGUCCUCAUAAAUAGUUAUUUGUAACAUUAUUUAAAUUGUUAGGAUUGUUGUCAUAAUUGGGAAAGCCUAAACUGAGAUUCUCUUAUACAUGAGCUGUGAGAUUCAGGCCUUUAUCAAGGUAUAGUGAUGACUAAUCCUAAAUCCUUCAUCACUGUCCAGUAGAAUUUUCUACGAUGGUGAAAAUGUUGCUUAUUGAUGCUAAUGUGGUAGCUGCUGACCACAAGUGGUUAUUGAGCACUUGGUGUAAUUAGUGUGGCUAAGAAACUGAGUUUAUGUUUAAUUCCAUUUUAACCCUUGGCUUUUCACCCAGCAAUCUGCCCCUUCCAGCCCCAGGGCCCCCCUCUGACUGUGUCAGCAGACUGGGGACCUGAGCCAGUGAAUUUGGUGAACCUACCAAGGAUGUGGAGGUCCAAAAAAAAUUGUCUCCCUCAC